AGAUUUUUGCUCUAUAAAAAGAAAAUGGGGACCCUAGAACGGUUUAAGCCUUUAAGGGAGUGGGGGAGUGGCAAAGACUAGCAAAUGCCUCCCUGAGCCCGAAGGCGGUUAUUGGAAACCAGAAGCUGUCUUUUUUUUGUUGUUGGGUGAUGGGUGCAGGUGGAGAAUUCCAAAGGGAUCGCAUUGAUCCGAUUCCCUCCCCCAUACCAAAGUGGGCGGUUUUGAUUCUCCGUCUUCUUUUCUUUGAUUUAUCGGAUCAUGCGAUCUCUUCGGAAUUUUCCAUCUGUGGCUUUAGAUUUCUCGUCAUCGUUUCGAGUGAGGCAUGAAGCUGGGAAGGUUGGAACCGAUUCUGUGAAUUGGGUAACCCAUUACUGUAA